rnacentral:lncRNA from 1 species
AUUGCUGCAGCUCGUUCAAAAAAGUGGGACUAAGAUGCACAAGUUUUUCUUCAUUGUCAGGGUCGCGGCAAAGGCUUGCCCAGUAACUUAGGAAUGACAACAAAGUGAGAGCAUCAGCAAUACGGUGGGAGAGGCUCACAGCUACAGCUAUUCCUCCGCAAGAGAAAUGGUUUAGUUGAACAGCCAUUAAAUUACCAGAGGACAACAAAGGUCCCCAUAUGGUACCAGGGGGACAGAGAUGACCAUAACCAUCUUCUUCAUCCCUGGUAGGAGUUUUUUCCAGAAUUUCUGAUAAUUUACAUGCUACCUGGGCCUCAAAGAAUUCAAUGCCUUGGUCAUUGUAUUCUAUGCGUGAUCCUGAAGAACUUAGCUUUCCCGCAACUGGAUAGUACUUGCAAAGUGUAUUGGAUAGAGAGUUCUUGAGUAGAUUUGGUAUGGUGGCUUUAUGAGCUAGUGAUUGUGGAUUGGAAUAGAAGAAUAUCAUAGGCGUGUAAGGACCGGGCAACCCUAGAUCAUGUAAAGGAAGAAUGUAAGGCUUGAGGUUCAAGGGUGUGGGAGAGGCCGGUUUAAUGUUGGUUUUUGAUUUUGAGACUAGAUGCAAAUGCCUUCUAAUUAGUCCCCUCAUUAUCAUGCUGCCAGUUGUGGAGAAUAUAAGCUCUAUUGCAAGGAAUGAGGGUAGAAAUGCAUCUCCAUUGUUCCUGUAUUAUAUACCCGUUUAGCUGUCUAUGCUUGAAUAAGAUGAUACAAUUUAGAUUAUUAGACUGUAGCAUGCAUCUAUGGAAAAUAGUUGAAAGGACAACUGAAUUGAUUGCAAUACUAUUUGAACCAAAUUAGUACUCCCUCCAUCUCUUAAUACCUUUCAACUGAAUGUAAUUAAUUACAACUUUCAUGUGACAAAUAUAUAUACUUUCAUAUGAAAAAUAUAUACUAUCAAAAGAAUCUUGUGAUUCAGGAGGAAUGUCAACCUCUAGUUUGCAGACGAAGAAACAUGGUUCCCCUUCUAGUAGAUUAAAUAUAUUUUCUAAUAAUACAAUUUCCAAAAUUUUAUUAAUCAUAUCGUUCAAAUUUUGAUCAAUUUGACUACAGACAUAACUGCUAUUAUGGGGCAACGGGAGUACUAUCUUUGAGUUGGGAGGUAGUGAUCCAGUACUUCUCAGGAACUAAAACUUCAGCAGCAGCAGUUAAAUCAUCACUACUUGAUUGCGGCAACUGCAUCUCGUGCACGAAACAGAGACUAAGAUGCACAAGUUUUUCCUGGUCAUCAGGGUUGCGGGACAAUCUUACCCAGUAACUCAAAAAUGACAAUACAGUGAGUGCAUCAGCCAUACGGUGGGAUAGGGUCACAGCAAUGGCCCCAAUCCUCGGCAAGAGAAAUGAUUCAGCUGAACAGCCAUUAUAUUAGGAGAAGACGAUACAUCAUGCCAUAUCAUACAGUCCCUCAUUCCCAUUUUAAUAGUUAUGUUUGUGAAAAUAAAAUGUCCCAUAAUAUUUGUCAUUUUUUUUUUCAAUAAAACUUUUAUACUGUUUUUAAAGUUGACUAUCAUCAACUCCCGCAAUUUUCAAAAAUUAUUAAGCAAAUAACUAUGAAAUUCUAAUAAAAUGACUGAAAACUUGGUUAUAUUCAUGUGUAAUUUAUGUAAUUUUAACGAUCACAACAAUAACAAGACAUCACAUUUAAUAUUUCUUGAUAUGUGUGAAAUUUGCAAAAAAAGACUAUUAAUAUGGGAGGGAUGGAGGGAGUGUAUACCAUGCUUAAAGAGAUGACUGCAACCAUCUUUUUUCAUCCUUGACAGGAGUUCUUUCUAGAAUUUCAGAUUGUAAGAAUCAGCUACCACACGCGAUCAUUUAGGAUGAUUAUAUUGUUUGAGCUUAAGGGUGUGGUAGAAGCCGGUUUUAUAUUAAUUUUUGAUGUUUAGAUUCCAUGUAGCUGCCUUCUGGUUAGUCCCCUGAUCGUCAUAUAGCUAUUUGUAUUUGAAUGUAUUAGAUUAUAGAUUUAGAGAAAGGGAUCAGGUGAUUUCACUGCAAUUUAUAACGGAACAUUCAAGGGUGACUAUCACUGACUAAAUGCCACAUAUUGUUAAUUCUGCUAUUAUUAAGCUUGGGGACGGGGUGGAUAAGAAAAUAUGAAAUAUUUGCGGCCUCACUUUAACCGAAAGUCUGGUUUCCACAAACAAUAAUUGAUUGAUACUUCAUAUUUAUUUUAGUUUAUGAUAUUCAAAUAAUACUCUUAGCCGAUUAUUUUGGAAUAAUACCUUUAGUUGAUAAUAUUGGAAUGAUAUUGGAAUAACACCCUUAGCUGAUAAUAUUGGAAUAAUAUCCAUACUGACAUUAGAAUGAUAUUGGAACAAUACCCUUAGAUGACGAUAUUGAUAUUAUUUUGAUUCUAAUAAUUUUAUUACUGAUAUGAUUACUAAAAGUUGUAUAUACUACUAUAAAGUUGCAAAAGCACUUUUAUACACAAAACACAAUUGUUAGUUUAGUUGCAUUUAGCUUUGCAAAGAACAUAUGUUACAAGGUGCAUUAGUUACACAGUCACCCCUUCCCAAUUUAUUUGUCUUGUUUGACUUUUUGUGGUCAAAUUUACCAAAUUUUGACUAAUAAUUAGUAAUUAUUAUUACAUAAUCUUGAAAAUAAAAAAAAAUACAUUUUAAAAUAGAAUAGAAAUAGAUUCUAGUAAUAUGUUUUUUGUAAUUUUUAAAAUUGUUUAAUAUAUGUAAAUUACAGUCAAAGUUUGGUCGAUUUGACCAUAAAAAGUCAAACAAAGCAAAUAAAUUGGGACAAAGGGAGUAUAUGAUUGCAAAGUUGCAAACUCUAUUUUUGUAAAAAAAAUUCAGAAAAUAAUAUAACACCAAAUACAAUAAUUGUGGGCUAAAUUGGACCAUAAAAUUUGCACAACUUGUAACACAUCAUUUGGAUAGUAAUGACUAUAUUCAUUAAAUAUAAUAUGUUUAAAUAUAAUAUCCGAGAAAUAAUGAGAUUAUCUAUAUAUUCUAUCUGGGUCUUAUAUGUCAAAAUAUCUCACUUGACCCACCAUCUUAUCGGGUACUCAUUUAAACCACUAUAAACCACAUAUAUAUCAUUUUACUCACAUCACUGUUCAUGCCUCUUUACUUAUUCAAUUAUCAAAAAUCAACUUUUGUUCUUUUGAUACAAAACCACUUCAAAUAUAUACCUUUAUAAUUGUCUCUAGUAUUUAUCAAAAUAAUAUGGAAAUUUCUAAAGCAACAUAUCUGGGGUGAUCACAUAAAUAUAUAUAUUUAUAGUUAUAUAUUUUUAACUACAUAGCUACGGUUUAUAGUGGCUUAAAUGAUUCCCCGAUAAGAUGGAUGGGCAAAUGAAAUAUUUUGACGUAAAGGGUGGCGAUAUAAAACCCUUUUCUAUUUUGAUGACAUGCUAACUCAUUUUUUAAGUAAUGGUUUUUCAUGAUUAACAGAGUUGCUAUAGAUUACAUUCAAAAUGGAUUAAGUGACUUUACUCACCUUGUGGCAAACAUUUAAGGGUGACCAAGUACCCAGAAUUGUUUCUGCUAUUAUUAAGUUACGGCACAGUAGAUAAGAAAAUAUGAAUCACAAAUAUCACAUUUAUUUGCUGCCUCACAAUUUUACCAAAAGUCUGGUUUCCAGAAAUAAUUAUUAAUUGAUACUUCAAAUUUGUUCCCUAACCAAUGGAUAUUGAAAUAAUAUCCUUAGCCGAUGAUAUUGGAACAAUACCAGGUUAUUUUCAACAAGAGAGAGCUAGACUUAGAAAGAAGCAUAGGCAAGCAGAUCUUUGUCAGCUAGGAAAUUUUUCAUAUCUUGUUCUUCCAGUGCAACGGGGGUGUUUAUACCAUCUCCACUCGGUGUAUCCAUCAUAACUGCUGUAUUAGACACACCUAUGUCCACAACUGAAGCUUUUACUGGCUUUCCCCACCCGAAAUCCAUCUCAUCAUAUAAUGGGAAAUUACAAAUUCUGCUCACGAAAUAAGGCUUCUGAUCAGUAUUUGCAUAUUUGAGCAUCAGUGCCAGGUUUUUUCCGACCAAACUUUUGGAUCCUCUAAGUUGGAACUUCCCUUUCUUCAUUUGGGCUAUCAAUGUACUUAAUCUUGUCUCAUUCAGCGUAUAUGUUGGAACGUCAUUCAGAGCAAUUAGAUUUCCCACACUUGUUUUUGGAAAUGGAGGAUCAAUGAGAGGGCGCAUGUUUACUGCCCGCAUCAGUACAGAUUUAGUAUAGGCCCCGGAGUUUGAUGCAGUUGCGGCUCCUACAGCACACCUGUAAAGGAGUGCAGUCACAAGCUCAUUCCGUGUAUAACUUUGAUUUACACCAUCUUGUCUGUCUUGCAUUUCCACCUCAACCUUGAGUUUCGCUAUCUUUGAGUGGGGAAACACUAUCUCCUUAGUGAUCCAAAACUUUUCAGGAUGCGAAUAUUCAAUGACGGUUAAAUCAUCAUUACAUGAUGGUGGUGAUGAUUGCUGCAGCUCGUGCAGAAAAGUGGGACUAAGAUGCACAAGUUUUUCUUCAUUGUCAGGGUUACGGCACAAGUUUGCCCAAUAACUCGGGAAUGACACUGUUAACGGGAGAAACUGGUUAACAACAGAUGUGGGUAACUGAGUGAUUUCCGGAAGGAACAGCGAAGAACACGGGACGGGAAGUGAUGGAUGAUGUAGCUGAUCUUGUGUUUGAUCCUCGAGAGAAAGAGAGAAAGUGUUCUCAGGCGUUUCUCAGCAAGAAUCAGAUAAUGAGCACAAGAGGCCUACGUACCCUUAUUUAUAGGGGUUCAAGCUACCACGUAGUUCUUACGGGCCAAACUUCUUAGCAUGGGCUAAGUGUUAGUCCGGUCCAUCAAAGCCCAGGUCCGUAGGACCUUGAGGGCUGCCGUCAGGAGAGGCCCGAACUCGCAUGGCCUACGCCCAUGUGGCAAGAGGCUGUCAUGGAGCGGGCCGGAUUGUAGAUAAUGAUCCAAUAAACAGAGGUAGAGACCUCGGGAUCCAUACUCGUGGGCCCAACGGGUCCAGGCACGAGCCUUCAUGUCUUCAUCAUCUUCUAUGGGGCGAGGGAACCCAAUCAUCAUCGUACAGGAUGAUGUAACCCGAAGUGAAAGGCGUAGCAUUAAUGACGAGAGCCCAAAGGACUUAGUAGAAUAUAGCACGCGACCUUUCUGAUGAGGCCACCUUGUAGUUGAGAGGAUGAGGCCUAGAGGCCUAGCUGGAGAGUGAGCCCUAGGGUGAUGACCCCCAGGCGAUUAGCCUUUAAUUAUGAUGACCCUUGAGAGGCAUGAGGCCAUAAAGCAGUGAGGCCCUAGGCUCAUUGGUAUAUCUUCAUGAUGGCCCCUAAGGGUGAUGACCCCCCGGGGUUCUUCUCCAAGUCUUCAUAAAUAUUCCCAGUCAUGGGGCCUUAUUGACGAAGCACCUUAUAAGAAUGAUGAGCCCAAAAGACUCGGUCCAAACAGACUGUUAAGCCCAAUAUCUUUGGCCCAAUCUCCUCUCCCUCUUGUGAACUGGAUAAAUCUUCAUAAAUAUAAGUGGACAGGCCCACCUUGGUGGUUCAUAUCUGAUUACGGGCCUGCCUAGGCCCAUGCCUAUUUUUGGGCAUAACAACUACCCCCCGAUUCUUGCCCGUCAUUAGGGAUGCGAGGAAGAAUCCCAGCGAGGCCUUCUGGUUCGUGAGUAUGCACGCAUCUGACAAGGCUAGGGGAAACGACCCCAAUUUCCGCGAGCCGUUCCUUAGUGACCAUGGCACGAGCCGAGACAAACCACACCCGACCAUGCGAGGCUUCUUCUAGCGACCCCGACAGUAGCGAGCCAUGGCGACGCGACCCUUUUUGGGAUGAGAGGCCAAGUGACGCGAGCCCUUAGACGUGAGGCCCCACAUGCUACAACUGUCGGACAGCUGUCAGGUGGAACUGAUGGGGUGGCCAAUGACAGUGUGCCACGUGCCCCAUCCGUCCUUCUCUCUCCUCCGUCUAUAAAUAUGGCAAUGAUUUGCAAUCAUUUGUCAUUUUCCGACAAUUUCGAUACACAAACUCCUCGCUGCGCCUCGCAUUCGAAGCUGGCUCGCAUCAGGGUAUUUACUACAUACGCGAACCGUAGCCCCGCUUCAUCAACUUCUUCAACUCCUCGCUCUUCCUCGUCCUCGUCUUCGGAACUAAAGAGUGAGUCCUCCUAUUUGUUCCUUUUAUAUAUAUAUCGUCCUUAUGCAUUGCACAUAACGUUCACUCUUGUUCCUUAUAUCAUUUCGGCUCGCAGGCGAGGCUGCCUCGUGAUAGGCCACUUGGUCCUCGCCUCACGACCCCUGCUUAUGCGACCCUCCGUUAGCUUAGGGGUCGCAUAACGACCCUGACUUAGCAUAUAGGGCCGCAGCGGGUGUGAUGUGAGGACACCAGCUUUCUUUCCUUCAUCUUAUUUCUUUAAGGCACACACUUAUCCACCAUCUUUUUACAGAUGUCUGAGAGCGAAGCAAGCCACGCCUCGUCCUCCGCCCCUUCUCCGCUUAUCCGCCGGCCCCGCGACCAGGGAGACCCCGCUAGUUCAUCAAGGGACCCUCCUACCGCCUCGAGAACUCCUCACGCGAUAUACCCUGAGGAGCCCUUGAGUGAGGAAGCCGUUAGGUGAUAGAGCAUAUAUUUAUAUAUGUUUUUAUAUGAUUUUAUUCCCAUAAUUUUAGUAUUUUGUAAAUAAUCGGGAUGUUACUAAUUGAUUUUAAGUGUUUAAUUUCAGGAAAAUAAAUAUUCCUAAAGUUGGAUUAAAUCAAGCUUAUUUGAGCUUAAUCAGAUGGAAAUUCGGACUUUAUGGAUAGCCAGCGAAGCAAAUCUUGUUUGGGUCGUAACUUGAGUUCUGGAUGUCAGAAUUGGGCGAUUUAACAGCCCACGCGAAGAUAUUGGAAUUUUCUACAAGUUUAAAGUGGUCCAGAUAUCAAAAUCCAACUGGAUCAGCCCAGAAUCAGGCCUGAACAGCAGCCUACGAAUUUCAGCAUCAGAAUCCAACCCGUUUUAGGAUAUUAUUUUAUUUUCUUGUAAAUUAAGAAAACUCUUAUAUAUAUAUUAGGGUUUGAUAGAGAUUAGAGACAACUAACUUUGUAUCAUAUAGAAUAAUAUAGAGAUAGCUUUUUAGAGAGAAAAGGGAGAGAAACACUUGUGAGAGAGAUUGGAAGAAGGAGUGAAGGGAUUCAUCCGGACUUCAAGCACUUUCGUCAAGUUGUAUUCUUCGUACUUAUAUUCUUACUCUCAUGGUUUGUGGUAUAAAUAUAUAUUUGUUUCAUCUAUUCAUGAGUAGCUAAUCCUUUGAUCCAAGAGUUAGGUAGUAUUCUUUGGCUUAUUAUGUUUGUUUAGUUGGAUUGUGUUUUCUCUUGAUUUGUUAAUCUGUCAUUGAGUGCUUUAUACAAUUAAAAGAGUAGCUAACUUUUAAUUGAAUCUGUAGGAGUUAUAACGAAUCGGGAGAGGAGUUAUAAUUCUAGUACAUGAUAUGAUGGACACAAUUUGAGUACUGGAUCGGGAGAUAGAUAUGAGAAUUGUGAGACAUAAAAUCCUUGGUUCUUAAUAGUUUACAAGUGUUCUUUGAUUGACCAUGGGAGUGGCUUUUAAUGGAUAAUUGUAGGCAUUAUAAUCUACCUUGGGAGAGGAUUUUAUAAAUAUUAGAAGGUUGUUUUAGCAAACAAGAGACACAAAUUAGACAUUCAUGAUAGCCAUUGAAGAACUUUAAUUCUUGGGUUGUUUUCUCUCAUAUUUAUUAUAUAGUUUAUUUAUUUAUUAUAAUAAUUAGUUGAUAACCAUACAUCACCAAACCGUUAGGGAGGUGACCCGGGUGGAGUCCUCGAUGCAGAGCGAGUCGAGCGGACUUCACCUAUACCUUGAUAAGGCUUGGUCAACCGAGGGCUUUCAUUCUUUGAGGGACCCGGAGGGCUGGAAGGGAAAAUAACCAGCACACCUCGAAGGUGGGUUAUUCGACUUCUCAGCUCUUGAGAGAUCGCCUCGCUUAUUGUCCCGAGACGAGGCGGAGGCCCAGGUCCGAGAACUGCUCGCAUUGGAGAGGGCAAAGAAGAGGCGACGCCCCAACAGCGAGGGUUCUGACAUCGGUGAUGCGAGCCCUUGGGAUUCUGGUACCGAUGAAUCCUUGGGAAGGGCCUAUUAUGAGGUCGAUGCUGAAGGGGAUAUCUCUGAUUCCGAGGACAGAGAAUGGCAGGAGGGGGACCCCGAGCCCGACUACCUUGACGAGUUUGCGAAGCCUGAGGCCAACUCUGAUGAACUUGAGGACAUGACCCGGGCCGUUAACUACUGCAACUAUGACUACAUUCCCGAGGAAUCAAAGGAGCCGUACCACGCGCCCUCUCAGCCCGAACUAGAGGGGCCUAUUUAUUCAGGGGCUCUUCAAGAUGAAGCCUCGUCGUCAGCGAGGCCAAAAUCACCUCGUUUUUUGGCUUGCAAAGAUAUCUCCACUUCAUUGAGCGAAAGAGAGUUGGCGGAUCUUGCCGAACAGUAUAAUUUGGGGGGCCGCCUUGUCCUUCCACGACCCCAUCAGAGAUGCUAUAGGUUUAACUUCGCGGAGAAUUGGGGUAGGGUCCCCCGGCUCAUCCUCUCAUCCACUUUAGUAAAGAUCGGGGUCGCCUCGCCCCUUCAUCCAUUCUUGGCCGAGGUGUGCGAGGCCUAUCAACUCGCCCCGAUACAAAUCAAUCCCAAUGGCUAUCGUUCAAUGAUAGCUUUGUAUAUAAUUUAUAAGGAAGAGGGCUUUGACACUCUGGAUGCGAGGACUCUAGGGUAUUUCCUGCAGCUGAAGCGGUCCCCAAAGAAGGAUUUCGGGUACGUCUAUUUCUCAGUUUGGCCCGAAUUCUACGGGAAGAACUUGCUCAUAAGGGCUCCUAGUAACUCCGGCCUGUGGAAGGAGCCCUAUUUCUAUGCCUACGACGUCCCCCGGGUUAAGACCUCCUUCGAUUAUAACCCUGGUAAGCAACCCGUAUUUUACUGUUACAUACAUGCGUUCCCUCUUUUUGUGCGAGGCAUGUACUGUCUUUUCUUUAUCGUCUAUGUGCUGAUUUGUUUAAGUCAUGUGUCCUCGCAGUAGCCCCUACUCGCACUAUCCUCAAGGACGAGGAGAAGCGGGUCGCAGACCAAGUCCUUUCUCUUCCCUCAGAGAAGAGGAACGUGAGGGAGCUGCUGUCCAGAGAAAAUCUGAUUAAGCACGGAUUCCUUAACCCAUCAAUUGACGAGGCCCGUCGCAGGAUGACGAAGAAGAAGCAGGCUGUGGCCAAGGCCCCGAAAGCCCCUAAGGCCCCCAGGGUCACCAAGGCCUCGCUACAAGAGAAGGCCAGGGGAAAACUCCCCAUGAAAGAAAGUAGGCCUCGUCGCGACGCGAGCCAGAUGUUCGCUCGAUUUAGCGAAGCGAACCCAUGGCUCGCAUAAUCACGCAUCCCCUUUUUACAUGCAUGCUUCAUACUCAUUGUCCUCGCAUCCAUUUAUUUCUGUUUUGGACUAAUGGGUUGUCCCUUUGUGUUGCAGAAAUGUCACGAUCCUCGAAGCAGCGAGGUCCGGUCCCUUUCGCUGUGGAUGAUGACGAUGUUGCGAUUCUGGGGGCGCAGAAGGCGGCCCCCAAAGGGCUUAUGGCAGAUGCGAGGCGUCCUCCAUCAAGGGUCCUUCCUUUCGAGCCUGAUCCUAAGAAGGCUAGACUUGGCGACCCCCCUGCCAUCAUGACCUCCUCUAUUCCUAGCGACCCCCCUGCCGCCACUCCCAUCAUUGGCAGGGUCGCCUCUACUUUCUCCAAGUACGGCUACAGUACGGCCACAGUACGGCCAGCGAGCCUAAGGUCCUGACCUGGACCAUCUCGCCGCUAGAGGAGAAUAACUCCAUCCUUACCAAACUUCUCGGCGAGGCGUUCAUUCGCCAGGCCUCGCAUGCGAGGGAGGUGAAGGGGCUCGCUGCGGCCAAGGGCAAAUUGGCACAGGAUAACAAGAUCCUUAAGCAGAAAGUGGACGACCAAUCUCUCAGGAUCACCCAGCUGAAGGAUGCCCAGAAGGACGCUGUGGACAAAGCUAGUUCCAAACUCAAAAAGGAUCUUGAUGAGGUCAGGGGGAAGUUGAAGACGGCUGAGGAGGAGAACAAGAAGCUGGAUGAGGCUAGGGCCGCGGCUGUUCGAAAUGGGGAGAGCCUCGCUGAGGAACUGGCAGCCAUGAGGACAAACCAGCCUACCAUGCUUCGUGAGGCCAAGUACUCAGGACAAAUUUCCUUCAUGAAGGGGUUCCUGAGGGUGUUCCCUGAUUUUGACUGGUCUCAGAUGGGCGAGGCCACGGCCCGUUAUGCCGCCGAACUAAAGGCCGAGAUGGAGGAGGAGGAUGCUGCGAAGCGAGCCGAAAGGGAGGCCGCGAAGCGAGCUGAAGAUGGCGAUGAAGCGGCUCGCACUCAGGGAGACCCGGACCCCUCAGCGGAUCCACAACCAUGAUCUUCAUCUCAUCUCUUCUUUUGUAGUCCGAAACUUUGAACAAGGGAGGUGGGCACCCUAACUGCUCCACGGAUGUAUUUGAUAAUAAUUUCUGUCAUUGAAUAUUUUCCAACUGUCUUGGGGUCGCUGUUGGGCGAGCCCUAACUUCUUGUGCACAAAUGUUUUCUUGCUUUAAUAUCCGUCUUCGUAUGCCUUUCUUUCUGUUGCUACAUUGUAUUUUCGAGUACUGUCUUUACUUUUCCCCAGGUAACGAUUCACGGCCUUCGAGGCGUCGUGGAACACUAAGGGUGACCUCCCCUCGCUAGGAGGGGGUUGCAUAGCGAGCCCUGGGUCCGUGAUGCGACCCGGGCUUCGCGGCUCCAUAGUAUGUAUGAAUGCGAACCCUCCUCGUGGAGAGGGGGCGUUCCUCAUUUUCAUCUUCACCUAUAGCAGGUACUCCUUUUUCCAAUUUCAUGUAAGUGUCUCGGGGUCGCAUAACGAGCCCCGUUGUUUGUAGCUAUACAGUUGAAGGGUCGUGCCCGCUCCUCGAGAAAACAGACGAGGGGGACAUGUCCUCAUCUUCUGAUAGGUAUGCAGGGAUCACUUAGUUGGCCUUCUUCAGUUAUGUUUAGUGGGGGGUGUCCACACCUAGUUAAUAGGGGGUCGCCUCAUCGCCUAGUUAUAACUUAGUUGGGGUCGCGUAGCGAAGCCUGGUGACAAGGGGGGGUCGUUUUCACGAGCCAAACGCCCUUAUCAUACAUAUGCAUACAGUUCCACUCAUGAUAAAAAGGAUUAAGACGAAUCAUAUUACACUUUGAAAGUAUGCAGUUUAUUGAAUUCAAAUGCAUAAGUAGAUAUGUGGGACAAGCCCCCACUGCUUACUAAAAUUUAAAUGCGUAGAUAGAUAUGUGGGGCAAGCCCCCACUGCUUAGAUAUAAUAAAAAGUACUAGAGGAGGCGUCUAUAUGACCACUACCCCUAGACUUAAGGUGAACAACGUUCAAGUUGAGUCUAGAACACAGAGAAGCUACUGAUAGUACUUGCGGAGGUGUUCCGCAUUCCAUGCUCUGGGAACCAUCUUGUCAUUCAUGUCCACUAAGUGAUAGGUGCCUCCCCAUAUAACUGCUUUGACCUUGUAGGGCCCCUCUUAGUUGGCGCCAAAAACUCUAUGUGCAGCCACCUUAGUGUUUGGCAUGACUCUCCUAAGAACCAGAUCACCGACACGAAGGGGACGACCCUUCACCUACCCAUUAUAGUGCCUGGAGGACCUUUGUUGGUAAGAGGCCAGUCGGAUUUAGGAGUUCGUCCUCACUUCCUCGAUCAUAUCUAAGUAGAGGCGAUGGUUGGCCUCAUUUGCUUCGGGGUCAUAGUGAUCUCUGCGGAAGGAGCCAGCUCCUACUUCAACCGGGACCAUGGCCUCGCAGCCAUAUGUGAGAGAGAAUGGGGUCUCACCGGUUGUACUCCGGGGCGUGGUAUUGUAGGACCACAGCACCCGGGGGAGCUCCUCAGGCCAAUCUCCUUUGGCCUCCUCCAGUUUUGCCUUGAGAGUAUGCUUGAUUAUCUUGUUGAUGGCCUCAGUUUGGCCGUUGGAUUGAGGGUGACAUACGGUUGAGAAAUCUUUUUUUAUGCCAAGUGCCUCACAAAAGUCUCGCAGCUCCUUGCUGUCAAACUACUUGCCAUUAUCUGAGAUGAGUUUGUAGGGGAUCCCAUAGCGGCACACAAUAGACUUGUGCACGAAGUCCUUUAUCUUUUUAGCAGUGAUAGUGGCUAGAGGCUCAGCUUCUGCCCAUUUGGUGAAAUAGUCUACAGCCACCACAGCAUAUUUAACAUCCCCCUUGGCUUUGGGUAGUUCACCGAUAAAGUCGAUUCCCCACAUAGCAAAGGGCCAAGGGCUAGAGAGGGACGUGAGUCUGGCUGCUGGUAGGUUGCUAUAGUUGGCAUACCUUUGGCACUUGCUGCAGCUGCGAGCAAAAUCCUGAGCAUCCUGUCGGAUUGUGGGCCAAUAAUACCCCUUGGUGCACAAUCUUUUGAGCAAGGGAGCUACCCCUUGAGUGAUUACUACAAAUUCCCUCGUGUAUUUCCCGCAUGAUGUAGUUGCACUCCUCCCUAGGGAUGUGCAUUCGGUUCGGUUAACCGAAAACCGAACCGAAAAACCGAAAUAAUUUCUGUUCGGUUAACCGAAUUAAAAAUUUCGGUUCGGUUUUCGGUAGCCAAAUUUUGAUUUUUCGGUUUUUCGGUUUUUAAACCUCGGUUAAUCGAAAACCGAAUGGUUAACCGAAUUUUUGUAUAUUUUAUAAAAAAUAAUAUUUUUAAUUAAUUAUAUAAAUAUUCUUAUAAUUUAUAAGCGUGUAUCUACGUAAUCUACUGACCACUAAGAGUUCUUUUGCAUCAAAUUGAAGUCAUAACUCUUCAAAAUAACUACGACCCUUAAUGGCAUCAAAUGCACAGUUUGUUAAGACACUCAAAUUGUUUUUGCAGUUAUUUUUUAUUCUCGCUGUUCGUUUAGUUCUCUGGCCAGUGGCCACUUCCACUUAUUUCAAGGGAGGUUAAAAGUUACUCCCAGAUUAUGAUUCACAUUGGGCAACUGUAUGAUCUGCAUUUGCACUUCAGGGUACUGAUCUUUUAAACAUCACUCAAAUGAAGAUAAUAGAGAAGGAAGAGCAGUUUUUUUUGAAAAUUUCGGUUAUUAAUUUCGGUUUUCGGUAUUAACCGAAAUUUAAAAUUCGGUUCGGUUACAAAACCGAAUUUAAUUCGGUUCGGUAUUCGGUAAGGAUUUUUAUUGAAAUUCGGUUUCGGUUAACCGAAAAAAAAUUCGGUUUCGGUUUCGGUUAACCGAAUGCACACCCCUACUCCUCCCCGUCGAUGCACUUGAGGAGAGGGGAGUUGAAGCCUCUCCUGUAGAGGAUAUUGUCAUAGAUCACAUAGCGAGCAGCCUUGUAUCUGAGGCGCCUGGCCUCAUUUUUGUCUUCGGGUAGAGUGCCUUCCUUAAGAAAUUACAGAAUAGGGGUCAUCCAGGACAUUGUCUUUGAUUAUUUAUUAAUCAAAAAUAAAUACUAUCGAAAGAGUCUUGGGAUUAAAAGGCAUUAAACAUUGAGGGUUACAACGAACAUCUAAUGUAUUCUAAUGUAUUCUUUAAGGGUUAAAAGGAACGAGAUGUAAGUGAAAAGGAAGUAAAGUUAUGUAACUUUCACUCAUGUUUGUGCUCCCGAGUUUUUUAAAAGGAGGAAAGCAAGUGAAAGUGGAUGCAAAUAUAGCAUACUUCACUCCAAAAGUUUCACUCCAAAAGGGGGAUGAAAGUGAAAGCACAUUUGCUUUCACUUGCAUUCUCUAUUAAAAAAACUCGGGAGCGGGGCGGGGUUAAAAAGAACGAGCAAACUUUACAUUCAAUAUUAAAACAUCGAGCCUACAUCGGUACAACUUCCCAAACUUUGAGGGUUAAAAGCGCAUUAAUUAAGCCUAGUUUUUGAUGUUGAGAUUCCAUGUAGCUGCCUUCUGGUUAGUCCCCUGAUCUUCAUAUAGCUUGUUGUGGAGAAUUUAACCUGGAAUUGGAAUACCAGCAAUGCUCUAAUUCUCUAGUUUUAAGAAAUGGCCUAAAGUCUCAAAAAAUCAAAUAUAUCUACAUUGGUGCUGACAGUCCAAAAAAUCAAAAGAUUCAUUUAUUUUUGAUUAAUGGGACACAAUUUUAAAUUUGCAGAGCUUAAUAUUUGCCAACCAGAAUAUCUUUAGUAAAACUCAUCAGACUAGUUAAAGAAACUUUUGCAUCAAAGGGAGAUUUUUAACUACAAAAACCACUUCGAGUACCUUUAUAAUUGUCUCUAGUAUUUAUAAAAAUAAUAUGGAAAUUUCUGAAGCAACAUAGCCAGGGUGAUCACAUAAAUAUAUAUUUAUAGCUAUAUUUUUUUUAACUACAUAGCUAGGAUUUUAUAGUGGCUUAAAUGAUUUGCCGAUGAGAUGAAUGGGUCAAGUGAGAUAUUUUGACGUAAUGGGUGGCGAUAUAAAACCCUUUUCUAUUUUGACAUGCUAACUCAUUUUUUAAGUAAUGGUUUUUGAUGAUUAAUGGAGUUGCUCUUAGAUUAUAGAGUACAUUCAAAAUGGAUUAAGUGAUUUUACUGAACCUUGUAGCAAACAUUUAAGGGUGACUAUAAGUACCAGGAAUUGUUUCUGCUAUUAUUAAGUUUUGGCACAGUAGAUAAGAAAGUAUGAAUCACAAAUAUCACAUUUAUUUGCUGCCUCACUUUUACCAAAAGUCAGGUCUCCAGAAAUAAUUAUUGAUUGAUACUUGAAAUUUGUUCUAGCCGAUGAUAUUGAAAUAAUACCCUUAGCCCAUGAUAUUGGAACAAUACCAGAUUAUUUUGAACAAGAGAGCUAGACCUAGAAAGAAGCAUAGGCAAGCAGAUCUUUAUCAGCUAGGAAAUUUUUCAUGUCUUGUUCUUCCAGUCCAAUGAUGGUGUUUAUACCAUCUCCACUCGGUGUAUCCAUCAAAACUGCUGAAUUAUACAGACCUAUGUCAACAAGUGCAGCUUUUACCGGCCUUCCCCACCCGAAAUCCAUCUCAUCAUAUAAUGGGAAAUUACAAAUGCUGCUCACGUAAUAAGGCUUGUGAUCAGUUUUUGCAUAUUUCAAAAUCUGUGCCAGGUUUUUUCCGUCGACCAAACUUUUUGUUCCUUUAAGCUGCAUCUUCCCUUUCUUCAUUUGGGCUAUCAAUGUAUUUAAUCUUGUCUCAUUCAUCGUACUUGUUGGAACGUGAUUGAUAGCAAUUAGAUUUCCCACACUUGUUUUUGGCAAUGGAGGAUCCAUGAGAGGACGCAUGUUUAUGGUAUUCAUCAGUACAGAUUUAGUAUAGGCCCCGGAGUUUGAGGCAGUUGCGGCUCCUACAGCACACCUGUAGAGGAGUGCAGUCACAAGCUCAUUCCGCGUAUAAUUUUGAUUUAGGCCAUCUUGUCUGUCUUGCAUUUCCACCUCAGCCUUGAGUUUCGCUAUCUUUGAGUUGGGAAACACUAUCUCGGUAGUGAUCCAAAACUUUUCAGGAUGCGAAAAUUCAAAGGCGGUUAAAUCAUCAUUACAUGAUGGUGGUGAUGAUUGCUGCAGCUCGUUCAAAAAAGUGGGACUAAGAUGCACAAGUUUUUCUUCAUUGUCAGGGUCGCGGCAAAGGCUUGCCCAGUAACUUAGGAAUGACAACAAAGUGAGAGCAUCAGCAAUACUGUGGGAGAGGCUCACAGCUACAGCUAUUCCUCCGCAAGAGAAAUGGUUUAGUUGAACAGCCAUUAAAUUACCAGAGGACAACAAAGGUCCCCAUAUGGUACCAGGGGGACAGAGAUGACCAUAACCAUCUUCUUCAUCCCUGGUAGGAGUUUUUUCCAGAAUUUCUGAUAAUUUACAUGCUACCUGGGCCUCAAAGAAUUCAAUGCCUUGGUCAUUGUAUUCUAUGCGUGAUCCUGAAGAACUUAGCUUUCCCGCAAAUGGAUAGUACUUGGAAAGUGUAUUGGAUAGAGAGUUCUUGAGUAGAUUUGGUAUGGUGGCUUUAUGAGCUAGUGAUUGUGGAUUGGAAUAGAAGAAUAUCAUAGGCGUGUAAGGACCGGGCAACCCUAGAUCAUGUAAAGGAAGAAUGUAAGGCUUGAGGUUCAAGGGCGUGGGAGAGGCCGGUUUAAUGUUGGUUUUUGAUUUUGAGACUAUAUGCAAAUGCCUUCUAAUUAGUCCCCUUAUUAUCAUGCUGCCAGUUGUGGAGAAUAUAAGCUCUAUUGCAAGGAAUGAGGGUAGAAAUGCAUCUCCAUUGUUCCUGUAUUAUAUACCCGUUUAGCUGUCUAUGCUUGAAUAAAAUAAUGCAAUUUAUAUUAUUAGCCUGUAGCAUGCAUCUAUGGAAAAUAGUUGAAAGGACAACUGAAUUGAUUGCUAUACUAUUUGAACCAAAUUAGUGCUCCCUCCAUCUCUUCAUACUUUUCAACUGAAUGUAAUUAAAUACAACUUUCAUGUGACAAAUAUAUAUACUUUCAUAUAUAUGAAAAAUAUAUACUAUCAAUAGAAUCUUGUGAUUCAGGAGGAAUGUCAAUCUCUAGUUUGCAGACGAAGAAACAUGGUUCCCCUUCUAGUAGAUUAAAUAUAUUUUCUAAUAAUACAAUUUCCAAAAUUUUAUUAAUCAUAUCGUUCAAAUUUUGAUUAAUUUGACUACAGACAUAACUGCUGUUUUGGGGCGACGGGAGUACUAUCUUUGAGUUGGAAGGUAGUGAUCCAGUACUUCUCAGGAACUAAAACUUCAGCAGCAGCAGUUAAAUCAUCACUACUUGAUUGCGGCAACUACAUCUCGUGCACGAAACAGAGACUAAGAUGCACAAGUUUUUCCUGGUCAUCAGGGUUGCGGGACAAUCUUACCCAGUAACUCAAAAAUGACAAUACAGUGAGUGCAUCAGCUAUACGGUGGGAUAGGCUCACAGCAAUGGCCCCAAUCCUCCGCAAGAGAAAUGAUUCAGCUAAACAGCCAUUAUAUUAGGAGAAGACGACACAUCAUGCCAUAUCAUACAGUCCCUCAUUCCCAUUUUAAUAGUUAUGUUUGUGAAAAUAAAAUGUCCCAUAAUAUUUGUCAUUUUUUUUUCAAUAAAACUUUUAUACUGUUUUCAAAGUUGACUAUCAUCAACUCACGCAAUUUUCAAAAAUUAUUAAGCAAAUAACUAUGAAAUUCUAAUAAAAUGACUGAAAACUUGGUUAUAUUCAUGUGUAAUUUAUGUAAUUUUAACGAUCACAACAAUAACAAGACAUCACAUUUAAUAUUUCUUGAUAUGUGUGAAAUUUGCAAAAAAGACUAUUAAUAUGGGAGGGAUGGAGGGAGUGUAUACCAUGCUAAAAGAGAUUACUGCAACCAUCUUUUUUCAUCCUUGACAGGAGUUCUUUCCAGAAUUUCAGAUUGUAAGAAUCAGCUACCACAGGCGAUCAUUUAGGAUGAUUAUAUUGUUUGAGCUUAAGGGUGUGGUAGAAGCCGGUUUUAUAUUAGUUUUUGAUGUUUAGAUUCCAUGUAGCUGCCUUCUGCUUAGUCCCCUGAUCGUCAUAUAGCUAUUUGUAUUUGAAUUUAUUAGAUUAUAGAUUUAGAGAAAGGGAUCAAGUGAUUUCACUGCAAUUUAUAACGGAACAUUCAAGGGUGACUAUCACUGACUAAAUGCCACAUAUUGUUAAUUCUGCUAUUAUUAAGCUUGGGGACGGGGUGGAUAAGAAAAUAUGAAAUAUUUGCGGCCUCACUUUAACCAAAAGUCUGGUUUCCACAAACAAUAAUUGAUUGAUACUUCAUAUUUAUUUUAGCUUAUGAUAUUCAAAUAAUACUCUUAGCCGAUUAUUUUGGAAUAAUACCUUUAGUUGAUAAUAUUGGAAUGAUAUUGGAAUAACACCCUUAGCUGAUAAUAUUGGAAUAAUAUCCUUACAGACAUUAGAAUGAUAUUGGAACAAUACCUUUAGAUGACGAUAUUGAUAUUAUUUUGGUUCUAAUAAUUUUAUUACUGAUAUGAUUGCUAAAAGUUGUAUAUACUAUUAUAAAGUUGCAAAAGCAUUUUUAUACACAAAAUACAAUUGUUAGUUUAGUUGCAUUUAGCUUUGCAAGAAUAUAUGUUACAAGGUGCAUUAGUUACACAGUCCCCCCUUCCCAAUUUAUUUGUCUUGUUUGACUUUUUGUUGUCAAAUUGAUCAAAUUUUGACUAAUAAUUAGUAAUUAUUAUUACAUAAUCUUGAAAAUAAAAAAAAUACAUUUUAAAAUAGAAUAGAAAUAGAUUCAAGUAAUAUGUUUUUUGUAAUUUUUAAAAUUGUUUAAUAUAUGUAAAUUACAGUCAAAGUUUGGUCGAUUUGACCAUAAAAAGUCAAACAAAGCAAAUAAAUUGGGACAAAGGGAGUAUAUGAUUGCAAAGUUGCAAACUCUAUUUUUGUAAAAAAAAUUCAGAAAAUAAUAUAACACCAAAUACAAUAAUUGUGGGCUAAAUUGGACCAUAAAAUUUGCACAACUUGUAACACAUCAUUUGGAUAGUAAUGACUAUAUUCAUUAAAUAUAAUAUGUUUAAAUAUAAUAUCCGACAAAUAAUGAGAUUAUCUAUAUAUUCUAUUUGGGUCUUAUAUGUCAAAAUAUCUCACUUGACCCACCAUCUUAUCGGGUACUCAUUUAAACCACUAUGAACCAAAUAUAUAUCAUUUUACCCACAUCACUGUUCAUACCUCUUUACUUAUUCAAUUAUCAAAAAUCAACUUUUGUUCUUUUACUACAAAACCACUUCAAAUAUAUACCUUUAUAAUUGUCUCUAGUAUUUAUCAAAAUAAUAUGGAAAUUCUUAAAGCAACAUAUCUGGGGUGAUCACAUAAAUAUAUAUUUAUAGCUUUAUUUUUUUAACUACAUAGCUACGGUUUAUAGUGGCUUAAAUGAUUCCCCGAUAAGAUGGAUGGGCAAAUGAAAUAUUUUGACGUAACGGGUGGCGAUAUAAAACCCUUUUCUAUUUUGAUGACAUGCUAACUCAUUUUUUAAGUAAUGGUUUUUCAUGAUUAAGAGAGUUGCUAUAGAUUACAUUCAAAAUGGAUUAAGUGACUUUACUGCACCUUGUGGCAAACAUUUAAGGGUGACUAAGUACCCGGAAUUGUUUCUGCUAUUAUUAAGUUUCGGCACAGUAGAUAAGAAAAUUUGAAUCACAAAUAUCACAUUUAUUUGCUGCCUCACAAUUUUACCAAAAGUCUGGUUUCCAGAAAUAAUUAUUGAUUGAUACUUCAAAAUUUGUUCUAGCCGAUGGAUAUUGAAAUAAUACCCUUAGCCGAUGAUAUUGGAACAAUACCAGGUUAUUUUCAACAAGAGAGAGCUAGACUUAGAAAGAAGCAUAGGCAAGCAGAUCUUUGUCAGCUAGGAAAUUUUUCAUGUCUUGUUCUUCCAGUGCAACGAGGGUGUUUAUACCAUCUCCACUCGGUGUAUCCAUCAUAACUGCUGUAUUAGACACACCUACAUCCACAACUGAAGCUUUUACUGGCUUUCCCCACCCGAAAUCCAUCUCAUCAUAUAAUGGGAAAUUACAAAUGCUGCUCACGAAAUAAGGCUUCUGAUCAGUAUUUGCAUAUUUGAGCAUCAGUGCCAGGUUUUUUCCGACCAAACUUUUUGAUCCUCUAAGUUGCAUCUUCCCUUUCUUCAUUUGGGCUAUCAAUGUACUUAAUCUUGUCUCAUUCAGCGUAUAUAUAUGUUGGAACGUCAUUCAGAGCAAUUAGAUUUCCCACACUUUUUUUUGGCAAUGGAGGAUCAAUGAGAGGGCGCAUGUUUACUGUUGGAAGUUUGUCAUUUUUAGCAUAAAUUUGAGUGAGGCUCGGCUACGUUUUCGUGGCGGGUUAUGCUUGGAUUAUGUUCUCCUCCGAGAGAGCUUUACAAUGCACGUUUAUUCACUCAAAACGACUAAGGAAUGGAUGAGUUAUGAUGAUCCAAAGUUGCUUCCUUGGUAGUGGAAAAUUGGAGAGUAAACCUUGAGUCCCACGCACAUUGAUUCAAUAAAGAGCCUUUAAAGGCUUUAUAUACCAAGACACUUUGGUAGUGUCUAAAUGUGUUACUACAGUUAAACCUCUUUAAAAUAAUACCCCUCGGACCGGGAAAAAAUAUUACUUUACCGAAUUUAUUAUUUUAUCGAUAUAAUAAUAUUUUAUUACUUUAUCGAUAAAGUAAUAUUUUAUUAUUUUAAUGAAUUUCUAUGUGUUUAUAAAUUAUAAUUCAUUAUUUUUAAAAACAAGAAUUAGUCAAAUGCAAUGCAUUUGAUAUAAAAUUACUUUUAUAAUAAUUAAUCAGAAAACUAAAUUCAUGCAUGCACCAGAUAGAGUAUACAUGUUACAACAUUAGCAAAACAUACCGGAGUUAUUUAUCCCUUACAUAAAAUCAAGGAUGAGGUUAAUUUUUGCCUUGGUGGAAAGAAGAAACAAGCUACUGUAGAUUCAUAUUUUAAAAAGGACUGAAUUUUGAAUUCAUAUACAUAUUAUAUAUAUAUAUAUAUAUAUAUAUAUAUAUAUAUAUAUAUAUACAUAUAAUUCAUGAAUUAUUACUUUACAUAUCACCUGGGCCUUUAAUGAAUUUUUGAUUUUUUAUUAUCUUAUGCUUUUAGCGAAAAUAUUACUUUACGACAUUGGCCCAAGUUGGGACCGACAAAAUUUAUUACUUAAGCGAGGUUAUUACUUUAUAGGAUAUUAUUUAAUCGAGGUUUAACUGUAGUGUGUUGCUCAACCACCUACCUGUGCGCAGGAGCGGUGCAAAUUGGGGGAUUUCGAGGCAAAUUUCGUGGCUUCGCAAGCCUCGGCCUUUUCCAGGACACGAAUGCAGCAAAAUCUGGGCCCGAAGAAUUACGUACUAGUUCAUUAUAGAUUAGGGUUCUACACACACGAAAAUACACAAAUGCUGCUAAUGGGAUAAAGCUUGUGAUUAGUUUUUGCAUAUUUGUCCACCAGUACCAUGUUUUCUUUUCCGACCAAACUUUUUGUUCCUCUAAGCUGCAUCUUCCAUUUCUUCAUGUGGGCUAUCAAUGUAUUUAAUCUUGUCUCAUUCAUCGUAGUGGUUGGAACGUGAUUUACAGCAAUUAGAUUUCCCACACUUGUUCUUGGCAAUGGAGGAUCAAUGAGAGGACGCAUGUUUACUGAAUGCAUCAGCACAGAUUUCCCACACAUGUUUUUGGCAAUGGAGGAUCCAUGAGAGGACGCAUGUUUACUGAAUGCAUCAGUACAGAUUUAGUAUAGGCCCUGGAGUUUGAUGCAGUUGCGGCUCUUACGGCACACCUGUAAAGGAGUGCAGUCACAAGCUCAUUCCGUGUAUAACUUUGAUUUACACCAUCUUGUCUGUCUUGCAUUUCCACCUCAGCCUUGAGUUUGCUAUCUUUGAGUGGGGAAACACUAUCUCCUUAGUGAUCCAAAACUUUUCAGGAUGCGAAUAUUCAAUGACGGUUAAAUCAUCAUUACAUGAUGGUGGUGAUGAUUGCUGCAGCUCGUGCAGAAAAGUGGGACUAAGAUGCACAAGUUUUCUUCAUUGUCAGGGUUGCGGCACAAGUUUGCCCAAUAACUCAGGAAUGACACCAAGGUGAGAGCAUCAGCAAUACAGUGGGAGAGGCUCGCAGCUAGAGCUAUUCCUCCGCAAGAGAAAUGGUUUAGCUGAACAGCCAUUAAAUUACGAGAAGACAACAAUUUUCCCCAUAUGGUACCAGGGGGUACCAGGGGGACAGAGAUGACCAUAACCAUCUUCUUCAUCCAUGGUUGGAGUUUUUUCCACAAUUUCUGAUAAUUUACAUGCUACCUGGGCCUCAAAGAAUUCAAUGCCUUGGUCAUUGUAUUCUACGCGUGAUCCUGAAGAACUUAGCUUUUCCCGCAAAUGGAUAGUACUUGGAAAGUGUAUUGGAUAGAGAGUUCUUGAGUAGAUUUGGUAUGGUGGCUUUAUGAGCUAGUGAUUGUGGAUUGGAAUAGAAGAAUAUCAUAGGCGUGUAAGGACCGGGCAACCCUAGAUCAUGUAAAGGAAGAAUGUAAGGCUUGAGGUUCAAGGGGUGGGAGAGGCGGGUUUAAUGUUAGUUUUUGAUUUUGAGACUACAUGCAAAUGCGUUCUAGUUAGUCCCCUCAUCAUUAUCAUGCUGCCUGUUGUGGAGAAUACAAGCUCUAUUGCAAGGAAUGGGGGUAGAAAUGCAUCUCCAUUGUUCCUAUAUUAUAUACCUGUUUAGCUGUCUAUGCUUGAAUAAAAUAAUGCAAUUUAGAUUAUUAGCCUGUAGCAUGCAUCUAUGGAAAAUUGUUGUACGGACAACUGAAUUGAUUGCUAUACUAUUUGAACCAAAUUAGUACUCACUCCAUCUCCUAAUACUUUUCAACUGAAUAUAAUUAAAUGCAACUUUCGUGUGACAAAUAUGCUUUCAUAUCAAAAAUAAAUACUAUUGAAAGAGUCUUGUGAUUAAAAGGGCAUUAAACAUUGAGUGUAAUAACGAACAUCUAAUGUAUUCUAAUAUAUUCUUUAGGGUUCAAAAGAACGAGAUGUAAGUGAAAAGGAAGUAAAGUUAUGUAACUUUCACUCCUGUUUGUGCUCCCGAAUUUUUUGAAAGAAGGAAAGCAAGUGAAAAUGGAUGCAAAUAUAGCAUACUUCACUCCAAAAGUUUCACUCCAAAUGGGGGAUGAAAGUGAAAGCACAUUUGCUUUCACUUUUAUUCUCUUCUAAAAAAACUCGGGAGCGGGGCGGGGUUAAAAAGAACGAGCAAACUUUACAUUCAAUAGUAAAUGUCAAGUUUACCGUUUGUUAUAUACCGUUUUUUGACUUCAUACCGGUAAUUAGGGUUAAAAGGAAUAUUUGUGAAACUUGGAGGGUUGAAUCAGCCGAGUUAAAACAUCGAGCCUACAUCGGUACAACUUCCCAAACUUUGAGGGUUAAAAGCGCAUUAAUUAAGCCUAGUUUUUGAUGUUGAGAUUCCAUGUAGCUGCCUUCUGGUUAGUCCCCUGAUCUUCAUAUAGCUUGUUGUGGAGAAUUUAACCUGGAAUUGGAAUACCAGCAAUGCUCUAAUUCUCUAGUUUUAAGAAAUGGCCUAAAGUCUCAAAAAAUCAAAUAUAUCUACAUUGGUGCUGACAGUUCAAAAAAUCAAAAGAUUCAUUUAUUUUUGAUUAAUGGGACACAAUUUUAAAUUUGCAGAGCUUAAUAUUUGCCAACCAGAAUAUCUUUAGUAAAACUGAUCAGACUAGUUAGAGAAACUUUUGCAUCAAAGGGAGAUUUUUAACUACAAAAACCAUUUCGAGUACCUUUAUAAUUGUCUCUAGUAUUUAUAAAAAUAAUAUGGAAAAUUUUGAAGCAACAUAGCGAGGGUGAUCACAUAAAUAUAUAUUUAUAGGUAUAUUUUUUUUUUAACUACAUAGCUUGGAUUUUAUAGUGGCUUAAAUGAUUUGCCGAUGAGAUGAAUGGGUCAAGUGAGAUAUUUUGACGUAAUGGGUGGCGAUAUAAAACCCUUUUCUAUUUUGACAUGCUAACUCAUUUUUUAAGUAAUGGUUUUUGAUGAUUAAUGGAGUUGCUCUUAGAUUAUAGAGUACAUUCAAAAUGGAUUAAGUGAUUUUACUGAACCUUGUAGCAAACAUUUAAGGGUGACUAUAAGUACCAGGAAUUGUUUCUGCUAUUAUUAAGUUUUGGCACAGUAGAUAAGAAAAUAUGAAUCACAAAUAUCACAUUUAUUUGCUGCCUCACUUUUACCAAAAGUCAGGUCUCCAGAAAUAAUUAUUGAUUGAUACUUCAAAUUUAUUCUAGCCGAGGAUAUUGAAAUAAUACCCUUAGCCCAUGAUAUUGGAACAAUACCAGGUUAUUUUGAACAAGAGAGCUAGACUUAGAAAGAAGCAUAGGCAAGCAGAUCUUUAUCAGCUAGGAAAUAUUUCAUGUCUUGUUCUUCCAGUCCAAUGAUGGUGUUUAUACCAUCUCCACUCGGUGUAUCCAUCAAAACUGCUGAAUUAUACAGACCUAUAUCCACAAGUGCAGCUUUUACCGGCCUUCCCCACCCGAAAUCCAUCUCAUCAUAUAACGGGAAAUUACAAAUGCUGCUCACGAAAAAAGGCUUGUGAUCAGUUUUUGCAUAUUCCAAAAUCUGUGCCAGCAGGUUUUUUCCGACCAAACUUUUUGUUCCUCUAAGCUGCAUCUUCCCUUUCUUCAUUUGGGCUAUCAAUGUAUUUAAUCUUGUCUCAUUCAGGGUAGUUGUUGGAACUUCAUUCAGAGCUUGUAGAUUUCCCACACUUGUUUUUGGCAAUGGAGGAUCAAGGAGAGGGCGCAUGUUUACUGCCUGCAUCAGUACAGAUUUAGUAUAGGCCCCGGAGUUUGAUGCAGUUGCGGCUCCUACAGCGCACCUGUAAAGGAGUGCAGUCACAAGCUCAUUCCGUGUAUAACUUUGAUUUACACCAUCUUGUCUGUCUUGCAUUUCCACCUCAGCCUUGAGUUUCGCUAUCUUUGAGUUGGGAAACAUUAUCUCGGUAGUGAUCCAAAACUUUUCAGGAUGCGAAUAUUCAAAGGCAGUUAAAUCAUCAUUACAUGAUGGUGGUGAUGAUUGCUGCAGCUCGUUUAAAAAAGUGGGACUAAGAUGCACAAGUUUUUCUUCAUUGUCAGGGUCGCGGCAAAGGCUUGCCCAGUAACUUAGGAAUGACAACAAAGUGAGAGCAUCAGCAAUACAGUGGGAGAGGCUCACAGCUACAGCUAUUCCUCCGCAAGAGAAAUGGUUUAGUUGAACAGCCAUUAAAUUACCAGAGGACAACAAAGGUCCCCAUAUGGUACCAGGGGGACAGAGAUGACCAUAACCAUCUUCUUCAUCCCUGGUAGGAGUUUUUUCCAGAAUUUCUGAUAAUUUACAUGCUACCUGGGCCUCAAAGAAUUCAAUGCCUUGGUCAUUGUAUUCUAUGCGUGAUCCUGAAGAACUUAGCUUUCCCGCAAAUGGAUAGUACUUGGAAAGUGUAUUGGAUAGAGAGUUCUUGAGUAGAUUUGGUAUGGUGGCUUUAUGAGCUAGUGAUUGUGGAUUGGAAUAGAAGAAUAUCAUAGGCGUGUAAGGACCGGGCAGCCCUAGAUCAUUUAAAGGAAGAAUGUAAGGCUUGAGGUUCAAGGGCGUGGGAGAGGCCGGUUUAAUGUUGGUUUUUGAUUUUGAGACUAGAUGCAAAUGCCUUCUAAUUAGUCCCCUCAUUAUCAUGCUGCCAGUUGUGGAGAAUAUAAGCUCUAUUGCAAGGAAUGAGGGUAGAAAUGCAUCUCCAUUGUUCCUGUAUUAUAUACCCGUUUAGCUGUCUAUGCUUGAAUAAAAUAAUGCAAUUUAGAUUAUUAGCCUGUAGCAUGCAUCUAUGGAAAAUAGUUGAAAGGACAACUGAAUUGAUUGCUAUAUUAUUUGAAUGAAAUUAGCACUCCCUCCAUCUCUUAAUACUUUUCAACUGGAUGUAAUUAAAUGCAACUUUCGUGUGACAAAUAUACUUUCAUAUCAAAAAUAAAUACUAUCAAAAGAAUCUUGUGAUUCAGGAGGAAUGUCAAUCUCUAGUUUGCAGACGAAGAAACAUGGUUCUCCUUCUAGUAGAUUAAAUAUAUUUUCUAAUAAUACAAUCUCCAAAAUUUUAUUAAUCAUAUCGUUCAAAUUUUGAUCAAUUUGACUACAGACAUAACUGCUGUUUUGGGGCGACGGGAGUACUAUCUUUGAGUUGGGAAGUAGUGAUCCAGUACUUCUCAGGAACUAAAACUUUAGCAGCGGCAGUUAAAUCAUCACUACUUGAUUGCGGCAACUGCAUCUCGUGCACGAAACAGAGACUAAGAUGCACAAGUUUUUCCUGGUCAUCAGGGUUGUGGGACAAUCUUACCCAGUAACUUAAAAAUGACAAUACAGUGAGUGCAUCAGCCAUACGGUGGAAUAGGCUCACAGCAAUGGCCCCAAUCCUCCGCAAGAGAAAUGAUUCAGCUAAACAGCCAUUAUAUUAGGAGAAGACGACACAUCAUGCCAUAUCAUACAGUCCCUCGUUCCCAUUUUGAUAGUUUUGUUUGUGAAAAUAAAAUCUCCCAUAAUAUUUGUCAUUUUUUUUCAAUACAACUUUUAUACUGUUUUCAAAGUUGACUAUCAUCAACUCACGCAAUUUUCAAAAAUUAUUAAGCAAAUAACUAUGAAAUUCUAAUAAAAUGACUGAAAACUUGUUUAUAUUCAUGUGUAAUUUAUGCAAUUUUAACGAUCACAACAAUAACAAGACAUCACAUUUAAUAUUUCUUGAUAUGUGUGAAAUUUGCAAAAAGAAAGAUUAUUAAUAUGGGAGGGAGGGAGUAUAUACCAUGUUAAAAGAGAUGACUAUAACCAUCUUUUUUCAUCCUUGACAGGAGUUCUUUCCAGAAUUUCAGAUUGUGAGAAUCAGCCACCACAUGCGAUCAUUUAGGAUGAUUAUAUUGUUUGAGCUUAAGGGUGUGGUAGAAGCCGGUUUUAUAUUAGUUUUUGAUGUUGAGAUCCUAUGUAGCUGCCUUCUGGUUAGGCCCCUGAUCGUCAUAUAGCUUGUUGGGGAGAAUUUAACCUGGACUUGGAAUACCAGCAAUCAAAUGCUCUAAUUCUCUAGUUUUAAGAAAUGGUCUAAAGUCUCAAAAAAUCAAAUAUAUCUACAUUGGUGCUGACAGUCCAAAAAAUCAAAAGAUUCAUUUAUUUUUGAUUAAUGGGACACAAUUUAAAAUUUGCAGAGCUUAACAUUUGCCAACCAGAAUAUCUUUAGUAAAACUGAUCACACUAGUUAAAGAAAGUUUUCAUCAAAGCGAGAUUUUCAAGAUGUCAUAUUAGAGUAAAUAUUGAAUAAUUUUUUUAAGAAUUACAGUAGUUUCAGUAUUAAAUAAAGACUAAUCACAGUCUCUCUUUGAUGCAAAAGUUUCUUUAACUAGUCUGAUCAGUUUUUCUAAACAUAUUCUGGUUGGCAAAUAUUAAGCUCUGCAAAUUUCACUUUAAUUUAUUUAAAAGUCCAUAACACUUCACAAAAUACAAUACUACACAGUACCAUAAUCAAGAUUGGCACGUCUAAUUUGCAUGCUUAAGUUUAGCUAUUUGUAUUUGAAGAUAUUAGAUUAUAGAUUUAGAGAAAGGGAUCAAGUGAUUUUACUGCCGUUUAUAACGGAACAUUCUCAAGGGUGACUAUCACCGACUAAAUACCACAUAUUGUUAAUUCUGCUAUUAUUAAGUUUGGGGACCGGGUGGAUAAGAAAAUAUGAAAAAAUUGCUGCCUCACUUUAACCAAAAGUCUGGUUUUCACAAACAAUAAUUGAUUGAUACUUCAUAUUUAUUUUAACUUAUGAUUUUCAAAUAAUACUCUUAGCCGAUUAUUUUGGAAUAAUACCUUUAGUUGAUAAUAUUGGAAUGAUAUUGGAAUAAUACCCUUAGCUGAUGAUAUUGGAAUAAUAUCCUUAACUGAUGACAUUAGAAUGAUAUUGGAAUAAUACCGUUGUAUGAUGAUAUUGAAAUAAUACAUGGAUUUUUUCUAAUAAGGAUUGUGACCACCAUAAUUGAUAUUAUUUUGAUUUUUAUGUUGAGAUUCCAUGUUGCUGCCUUCUGGUUAGUCCCCUGAUCUUCAUAUAGCUUGUUGUGGAGAAUUUAACCUGGAAUUGGAAUACCAGCAAUCGACUGCUCUAAUUCUCUAGUUUUAAGAAAUGGUCUCAAGUCUCAAAAAUCAAAUAUAUCUACAUUGGUGCUGACAGUCCAAAAAAUCAAAGGAUUCAUUUAUUUUGAUUAAUGGGAAACAUUUUCAAAUUUGCAGAGCUUAAUAUUUGCCAACCAGAAUAUUGUUAGAAAACUGAUCAGACUAGUUAAAGAAACUUUGGCAUCAAAGGGAGAUUUUAAGAUGUCAUAUUAGAGUAAAUAUCGAAUAAUUUUUUAAGAAUUACAGUAGUUUCAGAAGUAAAUAAAGACUAAUCACAAUCUCCCCUUGAAAAAACUGAUGCACAAUUGUUUCAGUGGCUUCCUAUCUGGUUCGCAUGCUUCCAUCCUUGCUUUCACGUCAGUAGCAUAAUCCUCCUGCAUUUAUACAUUACUUAUAUUAGUUUAUCAUAAUCUAUAUAUAACUAUGAAUCGGGCCUUCGGGUGCAGGAAGAAAGAUAGAAAGUGAUUACAUACUGCAGUACCAUGCAUGUAAGUUGCAGUAUUAGUAUAGAAGUAUAUACAUAAAGUUGUUAUACAGGGAUGCAUUCAAACUUGUAGUAUACCGAGAUUAUAUUUGAGAUUUCUUCAUGCCAUCUCAGAAAAGUCGAAGAAAUUAUAGUUCUCCCUAGCUAACAGAGUUUUAUUAUUAAAAUAUUAGAGAUUAAGAUGUCUUCCAGCUUUUAGUGGUCCUCUUACUCAAGUUUUUCCCGAAAAAACAAUUGGACCCCCUUUGUAUACAAUAUAUUCCAGCAUCUGAUCAUGUUUCUUAUGUAUAGCUGCAUUUAAAUUCUCUUUUUGUUGAUUUUAAGGGCUGAUGGGUGUAUAAUUGCUGUGAAUAUUAAGGAAGUGCAACUGGAUCUUCCAGGGGGAUUUCGUCAAUUUUUGGUGGAUCAGAUAAUGGUGUAGCAGCCGAAGAAAAUCUCACAAGCAAGCCAUCUAAUGAACCAAUUUAUUGGUAGUAUAGAUAAUACAGCUGUACAUAAAGUAGUGGGUAGUUCAGAUGACAGCUAAGCACAACAAACUUUCCCUCCAAGCUAGUGCCUAGUUAGUUAGUCUUUCCUGUAUAUAUAGCUAGCAUAGUGUAGCAUUUGUACUCACUCUGUUCUUUUGUAUAGUUUUCAUUUUCUGCAAUACAAGAUAGUUCUUCUCUCUCUUAGCAUAAAUAUAGAAAUAUAACAUGGUAUCAGAGCUUGCUGAAGGUUCCAUGGCGGAUAUUACUUGAUCUUCGAGAUUCUCACUCGUUUUCUCUCGCACAUCAGGUGUUUUCUCAUUCGAUCUAUAGUUCGUAUAGUUUGUUGACAAGUUUUGUACAUAAACUUCGUUCUCUAUUGUCAAUUUCAUUACGUAUCUGUUAGUUCUCGCCAUUGUUGCUUUGUGCGAAUUGAUCCUACAUAAUCUGUGUUCAUUUCAUCUGAUUGAUACGAUUUCUGUUCUAAAUCUAUCACAAACCCUAGUUGUUUGCUUAUUCAAACCCUAACUGUUCCAAUCAUGACUCUCCAACCGAAUCAAGAUCCGUCGAGUGUAUAUUACAUUCAUCCUUCUGAUGCGUCUACUACGCAACUUGUUUCUGUCAAAUUUAGCGGUACUGGUUUCCAUAACUGGACACGAUCGAUGAUGCUCACACUCUCUGCCAAGAAUAAGCUUGGAUUUGUCAAUGGUACUGUCUCUGCACCUGAUGCCACAACAAAUGAGUAUAAACACUGGGAACGCUGUAAUGAUCUGGUCAUUUCCUGGCUCAUCUUCAAUCUUGAUGAGACAAUUGCCAAAAGUGUCUCGUUUAUGAAGACAGCAUCUGAGAUCUGGAAUGAACUGGAAGAGCGCUAUGGAUAUGCCUCUGCGGCACAAACUUAUGUUCUGGAACAACAAUUGUCUGAAAUUACUCAAGGAAAUGAUACUGUCUCAGCAUUCUUCACCAAAAUCAAGACUCUCUGGGAUGGCCUGGCUGAUGUUAGUCCUCUGCCUGUGUGCACUUGCCAGAAAUGUACCUGCAACAUAACACAGAGAUUGUUUCAGAAGCAACAAGAACAAAAGGUUCUUCAGUUCAUGAUGAAGUUAUCAGACUCCUUUGCCACAGUCAGGGGAAAUGUGCUCAUGAUGCAGCCAUUACCAAAUAUUGCUCAAACCUACAGGUUGUUUGCUCAAGAAGAGAGGCAUAAGGAAAUCUCUAAUGUGACUAAUCAGACUGAGGCCAUGGCUUUCUAUGCGGACAAAAGGAAGUUUAAUAAUCAAGGCAGAUUCAAUGGAGCUCCUACUGGAAACAGGGGAAACUGGCCUAACAAUAACAAUCCUAAUGCCAAGAAGCCAAACAAACCAAGCUACUACUGCACUCACUGCAAGAUUCCUGGUCACGGUGUGGAAAGGUGUUUCAAAAUCCAUGGUUUUCCCCCAGGUUUCCAGGCUAGACAACAAGAGAAGAAGGUUGCAACUAGGGAUGGCAAUCGGGUCGGAUCGGGUCGGGUUUCAUGAAAUCCAUAUCCAAUCCGUUAUAUUUCGGAUCGGAUCGGGUUCGGGUUUGGAUAUUAAAAUGUAAAAUCCAAAUCCAAUCCGUCGGGUUUUUUCGGGUUUCGGAUCGGAUUCGGGUUUCAACCGGAUAUCUUAAAAAAAAAAUUAAAAAUUAUAAACCUGUCUGAACUAUGAUAAUUAAGUAUUUUUUUUUCAAAAUUAAGAUUAUUGGAUUGGAUUUUAUUGGUUUAAAUUAGAAUAAUAUAAACUUAAACCAUAUUAAUUUUCAUUAUUACCAAUAUACAAUAUAUUUUAUACAAUAUAUUAUUAAUGAAGUAUUUGUCUUAAAUAGAAAUCCUUAUUCCUUUAACCUAGUCUAUUGAUAUUGAGAGUAUUAUAUUACAUUCAUCCAAAUAAUUAAAUAUAAAUAUGUUAUAUAUAUAGACACACACACACAUUCAUAUUAAAUUAUUUAUAAUAUAUAUAUAAUAUUCGGGUUUUUUUCGGGUUUCGGGUUCGGAUCGGGUUCGGAUAGGAUUUCGGGUUUCGGAUCGGGUUUCGGAUCGGUAGAGGUCAUAUCCAUAUCCAAAUCCAAAAAAUUUCGGGUACAAAAAUCAAAUCCAUAUCCAAAUCCAAAUCCAAAAAUUCGGGUUCGGUAUAUCCAAAAAUUCGGAUUUCGGAUCGGGUAUCCGUCGGAUCAGAUUAUUUUGCCAUCCCUAGUUGCUGCUCUUGCACAACAGAAUGAUGCUGAUACUGUCCAAACUGGCAAUGACACUGGUCCAAGCAUGUCUCAAGAACAAUACAAUCAAAUGAUGGCUUACUUUCACCAGUCAAAGAAUGUUCCUGAUGACACUAUGGAUGAUGAUAAGCAUGCACUACUAGCAGGUAUAUGUCUUUUAUCCUCUGGUAGUCAUGACUGGCUAAUAGAUAGUGGAGCAACUCACCAUAUUUGCCCUAAUCUUGAUUGUUUUGACUGGUAUGAGCCUUCCAAAGAAAAGGAUAAUUUCAUUAUUAUUCCUGAUGGAACAGAAGCAAAAGUUGCUCAUGUAGGAUCAGUACAAUUAAAUAAUGACAUCAGCCUAAAGAAUGUCUUACAUGUGCCUGACUUCAAGUUCAAACUGUUAUCUGUCAAGAGACUUUGCACAGAUUUAAACUGCAGCAUUAGUUUUACUAAUAAUCACUGUUAUAUUCAGGGCCUUUCUCAGAACAGGCCUCAGAUUCUACUUGGUAACUUGAUCAAUGGCCUGUACAGUGUACCAGCUCACAAUUUACUGGAACAAUCUAAUGCUACACUGCAGGCUUCUUGUUUUGGUGCUGUUCAAGAUACUAAGAUGUGGCAUCUCAGGAUGGGACACCUACCUUUUCCUCAAAUGAAGAUUUUACUAUCAGGUUUGCCAAUUAGUGAAUGUCAAAGCUCAACUAUAUGUCAGAUAUGUCAUGCUGCUAAACAGACCAAGAAACCUUUUACUUCUAGUCAUAUUAAGUCUGUAUCUGCUUUUGAGUUACUUCAUAUUGAUCUGUGGGGCCCAUAUAAGACUAAGAGUACUUCUGGCUGUAAUCAGUUCUUGACUAUAGUUGAUGACUUUACUAGGUUUACUUGGAUACAUUUACUCAAGCUUAAAUCUGAAGUACCUGUUAUUCUGGCAAAUUUUAUUGAAUAUGUUCACACACAAUUCAAGAAAAGUGUAUUGUGUAUCAGAAGUGAUAAUGCUAAAGAAUUCUGUGAAGGUGGUUCUAAGUUGUUAUUCCAGUCCAAAGGAAUACAACAUCAGACAAGCUGUGCUUACACUCCACGACAGAAUGGUGUUGUGGAGAGAAAACACAGACAUUUACUAGAAACUGCUAGGGCUGUAUUCUUACAAGCCAAAUUGCCUGAUAAAUUCUGGGGAGAAUCUGUUAUGUGUGCUGCUUAUUUGAUCAAUAGAAUGCCACUAAAGUCUAUUGCUUAUCAAACACCUUAUUCCAAACUCUACAACACAGCUCCCUCACUUGAGCAUCUUAAAACAUUUGGUUGCCUUUGUUAUGUUUCCACCCUUGAUGUUAAUAGAGGUAAGUUUCAUCCUAGAGCAGAAGCUCAUGUUUUCUUGGGAUAUUCAUCUUCCCAGAAGGGAUAUAGAGUCUAUGAUCUAAAACACCAUUCUGUUUCAGUCUCCAGAAAUGUAGUGUUUUAUGAGUCAGUUUUUCCAUUUCAUGUGAUUUCCUCCACACAAUCUGGUGUAUCAGAUUUUCUCAAUGAGAUUUUCUUACCUAAAGUUACCACACCAACUGUUGAUUCUGAUGUUCCUACACCAGUUACUGUUGUUCAAACUGGUGAACCUACACAUUCACAUGAUUCACAUGAAUUAUCUCAACAAAUCCAUACACCAGUCAAUACACCAAGUCAUUCACCAGAUAGUUCCACUAAUGAUAGCUCUCAUUUAGUGGAUUAUAGUGAUUCUAAUUUUCAGAGUCCACCUCAGCCUAUUACCAGAAUGUCUACAAGAACAAGACAACCACCAUCAUAUCUAACUGAUUACCACUGUCAACUGGCCAAAUAUACCACACCACUUCCAGAACAUUGGUGCAAUAUAGUUCCCAGUACAUGCCUUCCUGAGUCCUGUAUUAGCCUGCUUGCUUCCCAAUCUGUUAUUACUGAACCUUCAUGUUAUGAAGAGGCUGCUACACAUCCUUUAUGGAUUGAGGCUAUGAAUAAAGAGUUGAAAGCACUUGAGGCAAACCAAACCUGGGAGUUAGUUGAUUUACCAGCUGGAAAAAAACCCAUUGGAUGCAGAUGGGUUUUUAAAGUCAAACUUAAUGCAGAUGGAACAUUAGAAAGGUGUAAAGCACGUUUGGUAGCUAAAGGGUUUACACAGAAGUUUGGUGUAGAUUACCUUGAGACUUUUUCUCCUGUAGUUAAGAUGAGUACUGUAAGAUCUAUUAUUGCUCUAGCUGCUAACAGGAAAUGGACUAUUCACCAACUGGACGUGAAUAAUGCUUUCUUACAUGGUGAUCUAAAUGAAGAAGUUUACAUGUAUCCUCCUCCAGGCUUUGAUAAUCCCCUUAACAAAGUUUGCAGACUAAAAAAGUCACUAUUUGGACUAAAGCAGGCCUCUAGGCAGUGGUCAGCUAAGCUAGCAGUAGAACUGGUAGACAAUGGGUUUACACAGUCAAAAAAUGACUAUAGUUUGUUCAUUCACAGAGAUGAUCCCCAUAUUACAUACAUGACUGUAUAUGUAGAUGAUAUUAUCAUCACUGGUAGCAAUUCUGCACACAUUCAGCUUAUGAAACAACAUUUGGAUACUGUUUUCAGUAUUAAAGACUUGGGAGUCCUGCAUUAUUUUCUUGGAAUGGAAAUUUCUUAUCUGCCUGAGGGUGUUGUUGUUAGUCAAAAGAAGUUUACCAAGGAAUUGCUUGAUUACUGUCCUGAUACAUUGCCUACCAGAGCUGUUACUCCUCUUCCUCUACAUCUCAAGUUAAGUAGCUCUGGCAGUCCACCUUUGUCUGAUCCAGAAGUGUAUAGGUCUCUACUUGGUAAGCUCAAUUUUUUGACAAAUACACGGCCUGAUCUGAGUUACACAGUACAGCUAUUAAUCCAGUUUAUGCAUGCCCCCAACACUACUCAUUAUGAAGCUCUUCUACAUACUCUUAGUUAUGUAAAACAUACUGCUGGACAAGGGAUUUUACUACAAGGUGCUGAUAAUCUUACUUUACAAGCAUAUUCUGAUUCUGAUUGGGCAGCAUGCCCUGAUUCUCGUCGAUCAGUAACAAGCUAUGUGUUAAUGUUUGGUAAUUCUCCUAUCGUUUGGAAGUCCAAGAAGCAAUCCACAGUGUCUAAAUCUAGCUCAGAAGCAGAGUAUAGGGCCAUGGCAUCUGCUGCUUCUGAGGUGACUUGGGCUGUGCGACUCCUACAAGAACUGGGUGUUACUAAUUUGUGUCAUGUUACUCUGCAUUGUGAUAAUCAGUCGGCAAUUCAUAUUGCCAAGAACCCAGUGUUUCAUGAGCGUACGAAACACAUAGAAGUGGACUGUCAUUUCACUCGUGACAAGGUGUUUGAAGGGCUUAUUCAACUUACUUAUCUUCCUACCAAGCAUCAGUUAGCAGACAUCUUUACAAAGACAGUUCCUUCUCCUCAGCUGCAAUAUUUAUCUUCCAAGUUGGGAAUGUUUGACACUCAACAACAGUGUUCACAUUCCAACUUGAGGGAGGCUAUUGGUAGUAUAGAUAAUACAGCUGUACAUAAAGUAGUGGGUAGUUCAGAUGACAGCUAAGCACAACAAACUUUCCCUCCAAGCUAGUGCCUAGUUAGUUAGUCUUUCCUGUAUAUAUAGCUAGCAUAGUGUAGCAUUUGUACUCACUCUGUUCUUUUGUAUAGUUUUCAUUUUCUGCAAUGCAAGAUAGUUCUUCUCUCUCUUAGCAUAAAUAUAGAAAUAUAACACAAUUCAAACAAUUAAGCCUUCUUUCUCAAUGAUCCAUCUCAGAGAGGUGCAUAUGGAUUAUUAUUAUAUCACAUAUGGAAUUUGGAUAGUAAUAACUGAACGAUUAUAUAUCUUUCAUUCGUCAAAAUAUGCAAAUAAUCCCUUCCAUAGGGCAAGUAAAAAGGGCGUUAUUUUCAUAUAAUUUUUCCCGAGCAUUUAACAAGGUAACAACUACUGUUGGAAAAUUCUGGGUAUUAACGUUUCAACUGUUUUCUUGCAGACAUUGGAUGAAUCACCGGUUGAUGCAGAUGCAGUUGAAAGGGGCUUUAGCUUGAACGCUGACCCAACAGGCCUGCCAAGGAUUCACGGUCUACCAUCAUCAUCUAUUUAUACAACAAGUGGUGGUUCAACGGAAUCCUGCACAGCUUCUCCCAAGAACCCAAGGUCUCGUGAAUCAUCCCAUUCUGGAGAACCCAAAUUAUUUGCCAGCUCUGUUCAGCUCCUCGCUUAAGUGGUACUUCUAAUUAAUCUUGUAAAUCUGCUUGAUUGGUAGGUGAAAUAAUAUUUGCUGGGAACGGGCUACUUUGUUGAUUACUUUUCCAUGACCAUGUAUUUCCAGCAUCUUCAAUAUAGUUUGCUGAAUAUUGCAUUGUUGCAGAGGAACUCUUUAUAAAAUAAUAGGAGUAGUUCACUCGAGUUUAAUGAAAAUUUAUACAAGUUGGCAACUAGUUUAUAACAAUUGUAACUACCUGCUUUGAUUAUUGUAUUUUGAAAUCCUUGAAGGAUGAGAGGGGUGUAUUGGAUUGAGAUUUUAAAGCAUUUUUUUUCAUUCAUGAAAUUCGAGGGUAUUCGAUUGAGAUUGUUUGAAAUCCAUUAAAAUCUCGAGGUAUUCGAUUGGGAUUUCAAAUUAUGCCACAAAAUCUGGUGGUAUUCAAUUGGGAUUUUAAAUUAUGCUUUAAAAUCUGAUGGUAUUCAAUUGGGAUUGUUUAAAAUCCAUUAAAAUCUGAUGGUAUUCAAAUACUCAUGGAUUUUUUUGGAUUUCAUAAAAUGAUGGAUUUUGUGGUAUUCUCCAAUGUAUUUUAAGUAUUUUGAAAUCCCAUCAAAAUCAAUGGGAUUUUGAAGCAUUGUGCUUAAAUCCUAUCAACUCUGCGACAUUUUAUCAAGAAUCCGCAUAAAAUCAAAAUCCCAUACAAUCCAUUAAAAUCCAUAGACUAAAAACAAUCCAUUAAACUCCCAAUCGAAUACACCCCGUGAGUGUUAAAAGGCUUUUGCUCCAAAGGCCUCCUGGCUCCACAACCUUAUUAAAAUAUCAUAAAAAUAAAAUAAGUUGUACAAAAAAAUACCAAGCUAUUUUCAACACAAGACUCUUAGAAAGAAGCAUAGGCAAGCAGAUCUUUAUCAGCUAGGAAAUUUUUCAUGUCUUGUUCUUCCAGUCCAACGAUGGCGUUUAUACCAUCUCCACUCGGUGUAUCCAUCAUAAUUGCGAAAUUAGACAUAGGUGUGUCCACAAAUGCAGCUUUUACUGGCUUCCCCCACCCGAAAUCCAUCUCAUUAUACAAUGGGAAAUUACAAAUGCUGCUCAUUAAAUAAAGCUUGUGAUUAGUUUUUGCAUAUUUGUCCAGCAAUGCCAAGUACUCUGUUCCGACCAAGCUUUUUCUUCCUCUAAGCUGCAUCUUCCCUUUCUUCAUUUGGGCUAUCAAUGUAUUUAAUCCUGUCUCAUUCAUCGUAGUCGUUGGAACGUGAUUCAUAGCAAUUAGAUUUCCCACACUUGUUUUCGGCAAUGGAGGAUCAAGGAGAGGACGCAUGUUUACUGUAUGCAUCAGUACAGAUUUAGUAUAGGCCCCGGAGUUUGAUGCAGUGGCGGCUCCUACAGCGCACCUGUAAAGGAAUGCAGUCACAAGCUCAUUCCGCGUAUAAUUUUGAUUUAGGCCAUCUCGUCUGUCUUGCCUUUCCACCUCUGCCUUGAGUUUCGCUAUCUUUGAGUUGGGAAACACUAUCUCAGUAGUGAUCCAAAAUUUUUCAGGAAUCGGAAAUUCAAUGGAAUAAAAAUCAUCAUCACAUGAUGCUGCUGAUUGCAAAAAAGUGGGACUAAGAAGCACAAGUUUUUCUUCAUUGUCAGGGUCGCGGCACAAGUUUGCCCAAUAACUCAGGAAUGACAAGAAAGUGAGAGCAUCACCAAUAGAGUGGGAGAGGCUCACAGCAAUAGCUAUUCCUCCGCAAGAGAAAUAAUUUAGUUGAACCGCCAUUAAAUUACGAGAAGACGACAAAUUUCCCCAUAUGGUACCAGGGGGACAGAGAUGACCAUAACCAUCUUCUUCAUCCCUGGUUGGAGUUUUUUCCAGAACUUCUGAUAAUUUACAUGCUACAUGGGCAUCAAAGAAAUCAAUGCCUUGUUCAUUGUAUUCUACGCGUGAUCCUGAAGAACUUAGCUUUCCCGCAAGGGGAUAGUACUUGGAAAGUGUACUGGACAGAGAGUUCUUGAGUUGAUUUUGUAUGGGGGCUUUAUUAGCUAGUGCUUGUGGAUUGGAAUAGAAGAAUAUUAUAGGCGUGUAAGGACCAGCCACCCCUAGAUCAUGUAAAGGAAGAAUGUAAGGCUUGAGUUUCAAGGGUGUGGGAGAGACUGGUUUAAUGUUAGUUUUAGAUUUUGAGAUUACAUGGAAAUGCCUUCUAGUUAGUCCCCUCAUUAUCAUGCUGCUGUGGAGAAUAUAAGCUUUAUUGCAAGGAACUGGCUAGAAAUUCAUCUCCAUUGAUCCUAUAUUAUAUAUACCCCUUUGGCUCUCCAUGAUGGAAAUAAAAUAGAUUGUCCCAGUUCCAAAUUUUGGAGAUCCCAUUGAUGUUAGUGAAUCAUUUAUAUCUUGUCAAGUAAAUACCUUCAUUUUUCAUAAAAUAAUGUAAUUUGGCAUGUUGAUAUGGAAAACUUUCAAAAGGUUAACUAAUUUGAUUGCUAUCAUUUAUUAUUCAUGAUCAAGUUGGUUUGUUUGGUAGACUACCCUUAUUUUAUAAAAAUUAAAAAUAUUUGUGAUUCACUAUAGGACAAAAACUUGAUCAUUCCUUUUUAAAGAAAAUGACAAGAGGGGCACUAAUAAUUGAAUCCACUAUAAAUUUAGUAAAUUAAAAUUACGUUGGAUUCUUUCAUCAUGUCAGUAAAAUAUACAUAUAUUAAUUUAAAACUCGAGCAAAUAUAGAAAUGUCAAAUAGUCAUGAGCAUGCAAACAUUGAACUGUCAAGUUAGUAUUUUAAUACCGAUCACAGAAAGAUGCCAAGGUGCUGCUGCUUCAGCAGACUAAACAAGCUCAACUAUGAAGUUCAUAAUAUUAUAGUAAUCAUAAUCCACGUAAGAGCAUCUCCAACCAUAGCAAUCCCUUAGCUAAAAUGUAAGUUGGCUAUCAUAAAAAAUAAAAAAUAUAGCCAACUUCUCGAAAAACUCCUACUCUAACCAUACUUAACUGUUGUCGCCAGCUAAGAUGUUCCACCCAUGUCAUCAGUUGAAAAGACAGGGGAAAUGGAGCCACGCCGCACAGUCCCACCUUUCCUCUGAUACGGUGUUGCGAAUUGCGUCAUUAUAACACCUUCUUCCUGUACAAACAUUCAUCUUCUUAAUGGAUUAUAUUUAUCGUUGAGUGAAGAUGACCGAGAACGUUGUAAAGACAGGGAGGGAUUGAUUUUUGAAUGUUUUGAAGCCAUUAAAUUAGUAGACGACUACACAUCAUCCUUUAUCAUAUUUAUACCAGGUUAAAAGAGAUGACCAUAAGUCCAUAACCAUUUUUUUUCAUCUUGGAGAGGAGUUCUUUCCAGAAUUUCAGGUUAAAGGAAGAUUGUAUUGUUUUGAGCUUAAGGGUGCGGUAGAAGCAGGUUUUAUAUUAGUUUUUGACUAGAAAGCAGGGAUUCUUCGCUCAACACCACGCACUCGAUUUUUGGAGAUUUUUCGAUACUCGGGAAUUCUUGGAGAUUCUUGUUUAUGAUUAACUAGUUGAGAAGUCGAGCGUUGCGGCGGGUUAUAAAAAUUAUAUUAAUAAUUUAAUAUUAAUAUUUGUAGAAUAAAAUAAAUUUGUGGUUGCCUAUAAAAAGUAUAUUAACGAUUCAAAAUUAAUACUUGUAUGAUAAAAUAAAUUUUGUAUUAUAAAAAUUUUGAUGCAAUACCAAUACUAAUAUAUAAAAUUGCAAAAUUGGACUAUAAUUCAUGGUGGAAAAAAUGAAAAUAAAUUUAUACACGUAAUUAACAAUUUAAAGCACGACGAAUCUUAAUUUUAUUUUCUGAAAAGUAAUCAUGUUCAUACAUUAUCACCUUCCUCCAAUUUUUUUGGAUUGAUUGUGCACAAAAAUAUCUAACUUAAAUCUGUGAGGUUUGCAGUAUUGAGAGUGUGUAGGUUGUGUUUAGAUGAUCCAAAACCCAGCAAUAUAUAAGGGUAUUUAUAGGUGCAGAGAGGCUUGUGUGCUAUACUAUUUCCCAUAAUUAAAUAAUCUGAAACAAAAUGAGAUUAAAACUUUCAAGCUAAUAUAUUCCAUAAAUAAUCUGAAAUAAAAUCAGAUUCUGAAACUUGCUUGUAAUAUACCCGAAACUAAAAAAAAUAGUUUUAAUUUUUGAUAAUUAAAAAAUUCUAAAAAAUUAGAAAAAUAGAACGGAGCGAUGUGAGAGGCGCCACCUACACACCCCUCGCUUCUCCACCAUAUUAUCCUGUAUACAAAGUAAAUCAUAUAAAAUUUAACAACAAACAUGCCCGAUGAACAAAACAAAUUUUAUAAAAGAAUAACAAACAACCAUACAUCACUAAUAGUUAAUUUAUUGAUAUCAUCCAUCAAUAUCAUGUCAAGACUAUAUUUUUUUCCAGUGUUUGAAUUUGUCGACUCUCACAUAGCGGUCUAUAACUACCUUUGCUUGCAACAACCUUUAUUUUUUUAAUACUAUAUAAACAGCUUGCAUGAAACGGCACCACCAAGUUAGAAAUCAAGCAAUAGAACUAUCACCAGAAAGAGGUAGGGUUGUGGUAUAGAGAGAGAUGAGGUUGUGUUUAGAUGAUCCAAGACCAUACAAUCUAUAGGUGUAUUUAUAGGUGCAGAAAGACUUCCAUAAUUAGAUAAUCUAAAACAAAAUCAGAUUAAAACUUUCAAGCUACUAUAUUCCAUAAAUAAUCUGAAACAAAAUCAGAUUCUAAAACUUGCUUCUAAUAUACCCAAAAUUCCAAAAUUAGAAAAAUAGCAAUUUUAUUUUUGGAAAAUAAAAUUCUAAUUCUAAUUAGAAUUCUAAUUAGAAACUUUCAUCCAAAAAUUCCAGAAAAUUAGAAAAAUAGAACGGAGCGAUGUGAGAGGCGCCACCUACACGCCCCUCGCUUCUCCUUUAUAUAAGUAUAUUGAUGAUUGAUAUUGAUGAUUAUGUGAUUAGUUGAAUAUUUUAUCAAUUAACUACCUUAUAAUGUAAUAAUUGUGUUAUUAAAUAAUUAUAUUAUAAAAUUGUAAAGGAUAUCGAACUUAUUUAUUUGAUUAUUUGGUUUGAAAUUUGAAUAUAUAUAUGUAACUCUUGAAAUACAUGUAUAAUAUAUUUUUAAUAUAUCGAUAUUUGCCGAAUCUCCCCACCUGAAUCCCCAUACAUUUAAAUUUGUCGAAUUCUCGUAUCCCCGUAUCACGCAGUCUUGUACCCACACCCGCACUCAUGCUUCAUAGGUUUUUGAUUUUGAGAUAAAAUGUAGCUGCCUUCUGGUUAGUCCCCUGAUGGUCGUAUAGCUUGUUGCGGAGAAUUUUUCAAAAACUGAUGCACAAUUGUUUCAGUGCCUUCCUAUCUGGUUCGCAUGCUUCCAUCCUUACUUUCACGUCAGUAGCAUAAUCCUCCUGCGUUUAUACAGGACUAAUACUAAAGGACUAAGACCGAUAGAGGGAAACGUCGUCCCACUGCUAGGAGUUAGACUGCUCUCUCCUCCUGGAACAUUACCAUUUGCAAGAGGACUUCCUCCACAUCCAUAAGGUCACCAAGAGGCUCCAGGCUGUUUAAAUCUUCCUUCGCCAUAACUGCAGCUUAUUAAAGUUCCACUCAGCAAAGUUUUUGCCCUUGCCCUUCUCAUUUGAAGGUGUGAUUGACACCAUCACUGCAGUUUGCUCCAAAGGCCUCCUGGCUCCAAAAUACGAGUGAUUGACACUUUACACCCCUUAUGUUUAGGCGCUUUUUCGAUUUGGUCUCAAAUAAAUUUUUUUGGCAGUAUGCACCCCAAAGUUUGAAAAGCGCUUCGCUUUGCACCCCUUUGACCAAUCUCCGUUAAUUGACCGUUAAAGUUAACAGAUUUCAGGUUUUCACUUUGCACCCCACAAUUUUAAUUUUUUUUAAAGGAGUGUUUUGAAAUAUUUUUUUUUCAGUCCCUGACUAACGAGUGGGGUGUUGCUGUUUAUCAAGAAAUUUUUUAUGAAUGUUUCACUGAUCAUAAAUGCUCCACGACUUGAUAUUAGUCCAUGCUCCCAGAUAAGAACUUAUAUGGGAGAACAGCAAUAUGAAUUUUAUAUUAUAUUAUGAGUCGUAGUAACAGUUCUGGAUAUUCUACCAGGAACUUGGAGGGUUGGAUGAGUUUUAGCAAUGUCCCGUGCAUUUGGUAAUCGUAUGCUAAAGCCAUUUGUUGUGGCAGAGCCUGAAAUUCAGGUAGAACGUGAAACAUAAUGGAUACUGGCGUAUCUCUAUCUUUUGUCACUAUUAAGCUGUUCGCAGGAUAUGCAUGCAAUGGCCUGUUUAUUUCUUUUCUUGUUUGUCUUUUGUAUUCUUAUUUGAAUAGUUAAUCUCAUUUUCAAUAUUAUAAAGCCACAAGUUACGAAUAGUGUGGAUGCAUAUAGUAUGCUUAAAGCUUGGAGGAAACAUAUUACAUAUGUCUAUUGUCUCUUCACACACACGCACACGCGAAUAAAAUGCAAAGCCACUUGGGAUCACAUGCAUUCCUCUAAAACUCACCUCCACUGUAGCAAUGGAUCAUGGUUGGAAUUUUUCUUCUAAUUGUGAAAUUUUUGAUUACUGUUGGUUUGUUACAUGCUUACUCAUUUACACAAGAAGUUUCUUUCUCAUUGUGCAGACACAAAACGAACUUGCUGCUUGUGAAUAUUUAAAAACUCGGAUAAAUUAAUUUAGUUUGCUUACCUAUUGAAUUAGAAAAGAUGUAGUUAACCAUAAUGUUAAUCUUGCAUUCUUUAGUAGUUCUAAUCAAUGUCCAAAAGAUGUAGUUUUUUUCAGUCUUGAGGAAAAUAUUUUUUUUUGAAAAAAAAUAUUUCAAAACACUUAUGAAAAAGAAUUAAAAUUGUGAAGUGCAAAGUGAAAACCUGAAAUCUGUUAACUUUAACGGUCAAUUAACGGAGAUUGGUCAAAAGAGUGCAAAGCGAAGCGCUUUUCAAACUUUGGAGUGCAUACUGCCAAAAAAAAUUGUUUGAGACCCAAUCGAAAAAGCGCCUAAACAUGAGGGGUGCAAAGUGUCAAUCACUCUAAAAAUAAUAUAAAAAUAAAAUAAGUUGUAUGAAAAUGUACACCAUAUAAACUUUUGACUUUAAGAAUAAGUCGGUUUCUGCCUUUUUUUUAAUUUUAAGUUGUCUUCUGGCUUAUGACACAAAUAUAAAAUUUUCUAGUGAUUUAUAGAAAGAGAUCAAGUGAUUUUUCUGCACCUUACAGCCGAACAUUCAAGGGUGACUAAAUACCAGGACAGAUUGUUUCUGCUUUUAUUAAGCUUUAAGACUAAGUAGAUAAGAAAAUAUGAAUUGCAAAUAUCACAUUUAUUUGCUGCCUCACAUUCACUAAAAGUCUGGUUUCCAGAAACGAUAAUUGAUUGAUACCUCAAAUUUGUUUUUAGCUGAUGAUAUUGGAAUAAUACCCUUAGCUGAUGAUAUUGAAAUAAUACAAAGUUACUUUCAACAAGAGAGAGCUAGACUAAGAAAGAAGCAUAGGCAAGCAGAUCUUUAUCAGCUAGGAAAUUUUUCAUGUCCUGUUCUUCCAAUCCAAUGAUGGUGUUUAUACCAUCUCCACUCGGCGUAUCCAUCAUAAUUGCGAAAUUAGACAUAGGGAUGUCCACAAAUGCAGCUUUUACUGGCCUUCCCCACCCGAAAUCCAUCUCAUCAUAUAAUGGGAAAUUACAAAUGCUGCUAAUGAGAUAAAGGUUGUGAUUAGUUUUUGCAUAUUUUUCCACCAGUGCCAUGUUUUCUUUUCCGACCAAACUGUUUGUUCCUUUAAGCUGCAUCUUCCCUUUCUUCAUUCGGGCUAUCAAUGUACUUAAUCUUGUCUCAUUCAUCGUAGUUGUUGGAACGUGAUUUGAUGCAAUUAGAUUUCCCACAGUUGUUUUUGGCAAUGUAGGAUCAAUGAGAGGACGCAUGUUUACUGAAUGCAUCAGUACAGAUUUAGUAUAGGCCCCGGAGUUUGAAAAUUCACUGGCGGUUAAAUCAUCGUUACAUGAUGGUGGUGCUGAUUGUUGCAGCUCGUGCACAAAAGUGGGACUAAGAUGCACAAGUUUUUCUUUUUUGUCAGGGUUGAGGCACAAGCUUGCCCAGUAACUUAGGAAUGACAACAAAGUCAGAGCAUCACCAAUACAGUGGGAAAGGCUCACAGCUAUAGCUAUUCCUCCGCAAGAGAAAUGGUUUAGUUGAACCGCCAUUAAAUUACAAGAAGAC